rnacentral:rRNA from 1 species
GACGAACGCUGGCGGCGUGCUUAACACAUGCAAGUCGAACGGAAAGGCCCUGCUUUUGUGGGGUGCUCGAGUGGCGAACGGGUGAGUAACACGUGAGUAACCUGCCCUUGACUUUGGGAUAACUUCAGGAAACUGGGGCUAAUACCGGAUAGGAGCUCCUGCUGCAUGGUGGGGGGUGGAAAGUUUCGGCGGUUGGGGAUGGACUCGCGGCUUAUCAGCUUGUUGGUUGGGGAGUGGCUUACCAAGGAUUUGACGGGUAGCCGGCCUGAGAGGGUGACCGGCCACAUUGGGACUGAGAUACGGCCCAGACUCCUACGGGAGGCAGCGGUGGGAAAUAUUGCACAAUGGGCGGAAGCCUGAUGCAGCAACGCCGCGUGCGGGAUGACGGCCUGCGGGUUGUAAACCGCUGUCGCCUGUGACGAAGCGUGAGUGACGGUAAUGGGUAAAGAAGCACCGGCUAACUACGUG